ensembl:lncRNA
CCAGAGGCCAAAGGGGACCCAGCCCCCUCUCCAUCCCCAUCUGGAGCUUACAAACUCUGGGAGAGCUGGACAAGAAGGGGAAGCCCCAACCCUAGCAGAAGGCCGUGGAAUCCGAGGACAGAACUGAGUGGGCAAUGUCUACAGUGGCAGAAAAAUACAGCAAAGAAAGAUAACAAGUGACCUAUACUAUAUACUUCUGGAGGCCACCAGGGAAAGCUGCUCACAUCAGACCCCCACCUUGGCCCUGGACCUACCAGAAAGCAGCUGGAUGAAACACAGCAAGAUUCUGCUCCUCUGAUCGCCUCCUCACACAUGUGAUGGGCUCUGUCUGAGCUUAUGCUCUGCCUGUUGGGCUGAAUUGAGUUCGUUUGGUAAGUAACGGAGUUAACCUGGUUGUUGACAGCAGGUCCAGUUAUUCCCGGCAGCCGAGGUUCAGGAACGCGUUUUGGGAAUGUCCAGCCAUGUAGUUGGAGUUUGAGAAUAAGGUAAAGGACUGUCUGGCCUCUUCUGCCUAGAGGACACUGUAGUUUCCCUGGGCUGGUCACUGUUUCAUUGGCCUCCAUCACACAGUGAGGAUGACAAUCCUCACGCUGCCUACAUCACAGGGAUUAUUGUGUCAAGGUAACCUCUUCCAGAGAGCCUUCCCUGACUGCCCCUAGGCUGAGGGAGGUCUUUCUUCUCUUCGCUCCAACAGGCCCUAUGAGUUUCUUCCAUCAUAGUACUUUUCACUCUGCAUUGCAAAUGACUCUUUUCCUGUCUCCUUGGGUCUGUGAGCUCCAUGAAGGCAGGAGCUGGGUUGGCCUCAUCUCUGUGGCCCCAGCACCCAGGACUUGGCAUACAAUAGGUGCUCAAGGCCCGUCUUUGUUAGACUGAACUGAACUGAAAGUGCUCUGGACACAUCAGAAGACCCGGCUGCCCCAGCACAGGGUGAUGAUUCCCUUCAAAGUUCAUGAGAGGAAGUUUUCCUAUCUGUGGCAGCCACAUGGCAAGGCCCAAAACAGUCACCAUGGGCUGCCUUCACGUUGCUUGGCUUCCAGAGCAGAAGUGGUGGAAGUUGGUGCUGACGGUGGCCACUACCCCAAAGUUCAGCUCUUGAGAGCUGGUCCUAGAUGCUCUCCUAGCUGGAAGUUUCUCUGACUCAUUGGUUCGAGGUUCUUUACUCCUGGGAGACCCUAUUUUCCCCUGCGUUGUGCAGAAUGUGAAAGAGAAAACAUGGCGGCCUAUCCCCAAAUUGCCACUUGGCUCUGGGAUGGAGCCAACUGAACACACACACACACACCCAUUCACUCACUUAUUCAUUCACCGAGCACUUACUCUGCGCCAGGCCCUGUGCCACUGAAUACAGGGGUCCACAGGCGGCAGGGACAGGGUCCUGUGUUCAGAAAGCUCACAGUCUAGUGGGAGAGCAGAUAAACAGAAUGAUGAGAACGUGAGCGGCUAAGAUUCUCAGUGUGGGAGUGUGCCCUCCCCUCCCCUAGCAACUUCUCUCCCCCUCCAUCUUGUAAGGGGAGUUCUAUCUGCUUCCCCAGGAGUUCAGGAAAAUGAGAGACAGGAUCAAAGAACUUAGAGGAAGAAACCUCAUUUUCUGGAUGAUUUCUCAAUUUCUUCUUUGUUGUGGAGAAUCAGGGUAAUGAGCAAAGUUGAAAUGAGAGGUUAAAUCAAUUCACAUAGACAGAGGUUAAC